GAAAUGCGAUACUUGGUGUGAAUUGCAGAAUUCAGUGAAUCAUCGAAUCUUUGAACGCACAUUGCGCCCCUUGGUAUUCCGGGGGGCAUGCCUGUUCGAGCGUCAUUAUAACCCUCAAGCCUAGCUUGGUGUUGGGGCAUGCCUUCCGGCAGCUCUUAAAAUCAGUGGCAGUGCCCUCUGGCUCUAAGCGUAGUAAUUCUUCUCGCUAUAGGGUCUCGAGGUCCGCUCGCCAGAACCCCUAAUUUUCUAUGGUUGACCUCGGAUCAGGUAGGGAUACCCGCUGAACUUAA
rnacentral:misc_RNA from 1 species